rnacentral:rRNA from 1 species
AUGCAAGUCGAGCGGAUGAAGGGAGCUUGCUCCUGGAUUUAGCGGCGGACGGGUGAGUAAAGCCUAGGAAUCUGCCUGGUAGUGGGGGACAACGACUCGAAAGGGUCGCUAAUACCGCAUACGUCCUACGGGAGAAAGUGGGGGAUCUUCGGACCUCACGCUAUCAGAUGAGCCUAGGUCGGAUUAGCUAGUAGGUGAGGUAAUGGCUCACCUAGGCGACGAUCCGUAACUGGUCUGAGAGGAUGAUCAGUCACACUGGAACUGAGACACGGUCCAGACUCCUACGGGAGGCAGCAGUGGGGAAUAUUGGACAAUGGGCGAAAGCCUGAUCCAGCCAUGCCGCGUGUGUGAAGAAGGUCUUCGGAUUGUAAAGCACUUUAAGUUGGGAGGAAGGGUUGUAGUUUAAUACGCUGCAACUUUGACGUUACCAACAGAAUAAGCACCGGCUAACUCUGUGCCAGCAGCCGCGGUAAUACAGAGGGUGCAAGCGUUAAUCGGAAUUACUGGGCGUAAAGCGCGCGUAGGCGGCUUGAUAAGAUGGGUGUGAAAUCCCCGGGCUUAACCUGGGAACUGCAUCCAUAACUGUCUGGCUAGAGUACAGUAGAGGGUGGUGGAAUUUCCUGUGUAGCGGUGAAAUGCGUAGAUAUAGGAAGGAACACCAGUGGCGAAGGCGACCACCUGGACUGAUACUGACGCUGAGGUGCGAAAGCGUGGGGAGCAAACGGGAUUAGAUACCCUGGUAGUCCACGCCGUAAACGAUGUCUACUAGCCGUUGGAAUCCUUGAGAUUUUAGUGGCGCAGCUAACGCACUAAGUAGACCGCCUGGGGAGUACGGUCGCAAGAUUAAAACUCAAAUGAAUUGACGGGGGCCCGCACAAGCGGUGGAGCAUGUGGUUUAAUUCGAAGCAACGCGAAGAACCUUACCUGGCCUUGACAUGCAGAGAACUUUCCAGAGAUGGAUU